CUCGCACUAUCCGUCGCCAGAGCGCGCGCCUUGCCCAAGGUCGCCCCAGCUCCCCUCCUAAGACCUCCCCUGCGCCCGAGCUCGCCCCCGAUAAUGAGGAUACUCCCCAGGGUAUCGUAGCGGUCGAGCGGGACGAUACCAGUGUGCGCGUCCCUGCCAACGAAGAUAUCGCAUGUGAGCCGGCUGGCAAGGACGUGGUUGCCACAUGAAUGUCAACCCCUGCAUUUUUGUUUUUCACAGAUUCAGAAGACACUUCAGCCAGUAUUCAGAGAAAUAAAAAUGAUUGGAUGGAUGACUGGGAGUGCAACCUGAAGAACUCUACCCCUCCCGCCCCUCUGAGCUGAAAUAACCUUAUAGAGAACACUGCCCUAGGGAGACACUGUCUGUUAGAGAUAAGAAAACCAGCUCACUUGAACUGGACCAGGAGUGAGUCCCCAAAAUUCAAAGAGUACUAUGCCAACUCACAAUUGCCAUCGUAAGUAUACUCCUCUUUCUUCUAUGCUGUUUCAGAGCAUCUCGGGUCCCUCCACACCAUUGCGGCCAGUUGCUGUA
rnacentral:sRNA from 1 species